rnacentral:rRNA from 1 species
ACAGAGGUGGCAAGCGUUGUUCGGAAUUACUGGGCGUAAAGGGCGCGUAGGCGGCCUUCUAAGUCAGACGUGAAAUCCCCCGGCUCAACCUGGGAACUGCGUCUGAUACUGGGAGGCUUGAGUGCGGGAGAGGGAUGCGGAAUUCCAGGUGUAGCGGUGAAAUGCGUAGAUAUCUGGAGGAACACCGGUGGCGAAGGCGGCAUCCUGGACCGACACUGACGCUGAGGCGCGAAAGCUAGGGUAGCAAACGGGAUUAGAUACCCCGGUAGUCCUAGCCCUAAACGAUGAGUGCUUGGUGUGGCGGGUAUCGAUCCCUGCCGUGCCGAAGCUAACGCAUUAAGCACUCCGCCUGGGGAGUACGGUCGCAAGGCUG